GGAUCUGCUGGUCAAUGUGCCGGGCGAACUGCUCACUCACCUGAGCAAUGGCAGAGCACAGGAAAGCCAUGAAUGAGCGAGCAGAGCAGGCCUGCUCCUGCCCACCUGCUUCUCCACCACGGCCCGCCAACAGCGCGUCAGGUUUCUCAUGAUGCUGCUUGGAAGGCCCCGGGUAGCCAAGGAGCUCCAGUCGUGGCUUCUGUUUCUGCCUUCUGUAGAGACCAAGAAAGUGGCAGAGGCAAGGAGGGUGCAGCCCCUCCACUCCCAAGUCCCCAUCCAAGGGGGUUCCCUGAGGCCUUUCCUGACAUGCUGCCACCCAAAAUGAUGUUCAUGGAUGGAGGUGACACAAACCUGGAAGAUGAACAGGCUGAGCCCAUAGGGAGGGGAAGGAUGGGGAUGGACAGAAGCCUGUGGUGUACACAUGGGGCCCAGGAAAACGCUCCUGACUAGAGCUCCCCACCUGAAUCUCCACUACUCACUGGGCCGAGGAGUGGCCACCACAGGAGGGGGUGCCUCACAGGGCUCGACAUGCACCAGCAGGUGAGUGAGACGGCGCACCCGCGAGAAGAAAGCUGGGCCGCGGCUCUGGGGGUUGAAGACAGCUUCCUGACACUCCAGGUACUGGUCCAGCAGCCAACCCAGGGGGCUAAUGCCAUCCUCAUCUAGAGGGUGAGAUAAACAAACCAAGGCACAGCCAUGUCUGCAGGGAAGUGGGAGUGGUUGGGCUGAACAGGAGUGUGGAGAUAGAGCAACUGGACGGAAUGAUACAAGGAAGGGGGGCCAGGUAGGGUGGUUUACGCCUGUAAUCCCAGCACUUUGGGAGGCUGAGAUGAGAGGAUCGCUUGAGGCAGGAGUUCAAGACUGGCCUGGUCAACAUAGCAGGACCCCAUCUUUAAAAAUAAGAAAUAAGCAUAAAAAAAUAGAAAAGGCCAGGUGCGGUGGCUCAUGCCUGUAAUCCCAGCACUUUGGGAGGCUGAGGUGGGUGGAUCACCUGAGGUCGGGAGUUCGAGAUCAGCCUGACCAACACGGAGAAACCCCACCUCUACUAAAAAUAUAAAAUUAGCCAGGUGUGGGUCAGGCGCGGUGGCUCAUGCCUGUAAUCCCAGCACUUUGGGAGACUGAGGCGGGUGGAUCACCUGAGAUUGGGAGUUCGAGACCAGCCUGACCAACAUGGAGAAACCCCAUCUCUACUAAAAAUACAAAAUUAGCUGGGCAUGGUGGCCCAUGCCUGUAAUCCCAGCUAUUUGGGAGGGUGAGGCAGAAGAAUCACUUGAACCCUGGAGGCAGAGGUUGCAGUGAGCCGAGACUGCGCCAUUGCACUCCAGUCUAGGCAACAAGAGCGAAACUCUGUCUCAAAAAAAUAAAAUAAAAUAAAAUAAAAUUAGCCAGGCAUGGUGGUGCAUGCCUGUAAUCCCAGCUACUUGGGAGGCUGAGGCAGGAGAAUUGCCUGAACCUGGGAGGCAGAGGUUGCAGUGAGCCAAGAUCAUGCCAUUGCACUCCAGCGUGGGUAACGAGCGAAAAUCUGUCUCAAAAAAAAAAAAAAGAAGAAUGAUAAAGGGAGUGGGUAACAAGGCACCUCCAGCACUUAUGGUGUCCCCUGACACUUGAGAGACAUGGGAAAGGGGGCAGCCCCUGGGCUGUGAGAAGACAGCACUGGGAUUACAAAUGCAGGUGCCAAAAGGGCCAGGACAUAAUCCAGGUGGUUCUAGGGUAGAGCAAGAAGGAACUAAUUAGUGGAACCAAGCCCUGAGAUAGUAAUGGGUCCAGAUGUCAGGAUGGUUACCAGGGGAGGUGAUGUUCUGCACCACGGGGCUGACCAGGGCCUCCCAGCAGGUCUUGCCCAGAGCUUGGGCAGCCUCGUCAUCAGGGAGGAAGCGGUCAGCAAAAUUCUGCUCCUGGCGCAGAGCACCGUUGAGUCUGGGGGUGAGAAUGGAGGAGGAAGGUGUCAGGGGCUUGAAGCAUAUGUUAUCUCAGUGUCCACCCUUCCUAAGACUGCCAGCUAACCCCAGCACCCAAACCGAAGGCCCCCUGGUACUUCAGAACUGCUCUGUGCUAACUGGUAUAUCCCAUUCCCAGCCCACUGGAGAAAUCUUUUCUCUUUAUCCUUUCUUCCCCUCCCACAGCUCAGAAAACUCCAGCCCCCUCCCCACGCAUAUUAAACCUCCAUCUCACAGCUUC